GCAGUAGGGAUUAAAACAAAAAGAACAAGCUAUUCUCUCCUCUUUAGUUUCAGUUGCUAUGCCUCUCAAGUCGCCCAAAUUCUUUCGCAAAUGUCAGAGUUUGGGACAGAAUUUCUCCAACUUCAACUCUGCAAUUUUCAAAAAUGAGAGCGUUCCUGGACAACCAGAUCUGCUAUAGAAGUCGGAUCUCUGGAAAUCACACUUGUUACUGGUGAUUGAUUCUAGACUUGCACAACUCCCGGACAGAAAAUCAGAGCAUGGAGGUGCGUUUCUGGCAGUGAAGAACAUCGCGGGCAUAAAUUGGGGAUCUGAGGUAUCCUCUUAUGAAGAUUUGUCUUCACUGCUAGCCCUUCGUGAGCAAAUUUCCAAAGAAAUGCCUUGAUUUUUGGUUGGCAUCGAACCUCCCAGAUGCUCCUCCAUAGUUGUCUACUUUGAAAUCUGACAUGAAGAUCUUCCAUAGGCUUAUGAAAAAACUUAUUUGUUGUGCUAUGUUGGGACUGAACUUACUAUGAAUGAGCUGUGUAUUCCAAUCCCCUAUCUCAUUGAAUAGUUGUCUUAGUCAGAUCAGAUUUUCAUCACUGUAGUCUUCUUCCUGUACUCGAAAGGGAGUACUUUUCUGCCUUCCAAUAAGCUCUGCCAAGCCCAAGAUGGUCUCAGGCCUGGUUUCACUCCUAAAAAAGAGAAAAUUUAGAUGAAUUCGACAUCAGUCAACCUAGUAAAACGCACUCUAGAAAUUAGAAAACUUACCAAAUAAAAGAGCCA